UACAGCCCAUCCCCAGUAGAGAAUGAAAAGCAGGGAGGCGCGACAUUUUUAACUUUAACGACUUCUUCCUCCUGGCUCCAUGGCGGUAUCGGUAUUACUUGGCAUGUCUUCUUCCACUUCCAGACCCUAUCACCAUCUUCACUCACCCCUCUUCCGUUUCGUCCCCAAGGCAGACGCUUAUGUCCACCCCAAACCUCCGCCUCUCCCAACCCAUUUUCCAGAAUCCAAUGACGAUGAUUCUAAGCUGCGCAACUGGAAGAGGUUUUCUUCCAACCACCUUGGCAUCGCUACUUCCAUGAUUCCCAAACCUACCAGAAAAGUUCUUAACGGGCUCAAGAAAGCAGGUUAUGAAGUGUACCUGGUAGGAGGUUGUGUUCGCGACCUAAUAUUGGACAGGCCACCAAAGGAUUUUGACAUAAUAACUUCAGCUCAGCUGAAGGAGGUUUCAAGAAUAUUUUUAUGGUGUGAAAUAGUCGGGAGGAGGUUUCCUAUCUGCCAUGUGCACAUCGAUGGUACCAUUGUUGAGGUAUCAAGUUUUAGCACUUCCAGUAAGCCGUUUGAUAGACACUUGAACUCUGCUGCUAUUGAAAAGUCCAUGAACUGUGAAGAGAUAGAUUUUGUCCGUUGGAAGAACUGCUUGCAACGUGACUUUACCAUUAAUGGGAUGAUGUAUGAUCCAUACAACAACGUUGUAUACGACUACUUGGGAGGAAUGGAGGAUAUAAGACAAGCUAAAGUACGAACGGUGGUUCCUGCCUGCACUUCCUUUCAAGAGGAUUGUGCUCGAAUCCUUCGAGCAAUCAGAAUUGCAGCUCGUUUACAGUUCCACUUUGCAAAGGAUAUUGCUGGAUCUAUUAAAAAUUUGUCCUGCCUUGUGUCUACUCUCAAUAAGGCAAGGCUUCAAAUGGAAAUGAACUAUUUGUUGUCUUAUGGUUCAGCUGAGGCUUCUUUGAGGUUGUUAUGGAAAUAUGGACUUCUAGAAAUACUUCUUCCAAUUCAGGCAGCAUAUUUUAUCCGCAAUGGUUUUCGGAGGUCUAACAAGAGGUCGAAUAUGCUUUUGUCCCUCUUUUCAAGCUUGGACAAACUUUUGGCUCCAAAUAGGCCUUGUCACAGUAGUUUAUGGGUUGCAGUAUUAGCAUUGCAUGUUGCCCUGUCUGACCAGCCUAGGAGUCCUUUAGUGGUUGCAACAUUUGGCCUUGCAGUCCACAAUGGUGGAAAUAUGAUGGAAGCAAUCAGCAUUGCUAAGAGCAUCAAUAGAGCACAUAAUGCAAACUUUUACGAAUUGUUAGAACCUCAGAAUAUGGAGGUUCAAGCUUUGAUUGAUGAGGUUAUGGAUCUCACUACAUCUGUUAAGGUUGCUCUUCAUAAAAUGACCGACGAGCAUUUUGUGUCUCUAGCCCUGGAAUCGUAUCCCCAAGCACCAGCCUCGGAUCUUGUUUUUAUCCCCUUGGUGGUGUACUUGAAGGUAUGCAAAAUUUUUGAGUGCGUUGUAGAGGGUGCAGAGAGAGGAUUUGUUCCAAAGCGAGGAAAGAUUAAUUACGAGUGUCUGGCUCUUGGAAACGUGCCAGAACUUCGUCAUGUCUUCGCAAGGAUUGUGUUCGACACUGUCUAUCCUCUUUAAUCUCAGCCAUACCCAUGAAUAUAGUUUGAAGAUAAUUAAUUACUAAAUGGCGAUAUUUGGGUCCUUUACUCCAUGUAACGGACAUCUUAAGCUUCAACUACGUUUUGUUUGCUAGCUAGAGGUUAGAUUCAUUGGAUUGUGUAUAGAAUCUUCUAGAAGUUCAAAAAGUUACCUGGAAAUAGUUCGCAUAUAAUCAAGAGAUUGUUUUUCAUCUAAAUGUUGUUGAUUCACUCGAGGGUUGAUCAUCUGAAAAGUGGUAUAUUAUUUUAUUCUCUUUUAAUCUUUAAGCCUGUAUCUAGGAACACAAUACAAAAGAGAAAGGAGAUAUGCAAAAGUCGCAAAUGAAUGCAGCAUAUCCUACAGGAAGUGAUUCUUUGGCGUCAAAAAACCUCAACUUUUUAUGAUCCUAAGUAGAAUUAGAAUAAUGUCCAAGUCUUGGUGCUACAACCAUCCGCAUUUUUUUUGGCAAACAUGGGAUGCAAACCGUCUAACAUCUUUACUUGCUAGCUGCAGGAGCAGGUGUAGCCCCACCUGUUGUUGGCCUACAAGAUCGAGCAAAUAAUAUUUAUAAAGUAUUGAAAAGUUAGAUGCCACAGUGGAGCUGAGAAAGGUGCACGAAAGAUCAAGUAAAAAAUACGUACAGUCCAACGAAAACUUUGAAUGCGUCAUAUAUUCCCCAUUGAGACCCGGUAAGAGUUCCAAUCAUAACAAUCCGAAGUGGAAGGCCACGAGUGAAAAGACCCCAUAAACCUAGCUGCCUGACAGCCUGCAAAAUCAAAGUACAGAAUCAGAAAUCUACAUGAAGACGUACAUCUUACGUUAGGUUGGGCACCAAACUUACAUCCCCAGCAGUUGCACCCUUUGCGUUGUUUAGAAAAGAGACAAGAUUGUCAGCUGGGUGUGAGACCACCGCACAAAGGACGCCGGCCACAUACCCCCCGGCAAAGCUCACUCCAAGUUGCAGAGAUUUGCUACACUGUUCUUUUGGCCUUGGGAUCGCAUACUUGUAUAGCAUCUCAACAAUUGUUUCGAAAGAAGCAAAUUUCAUCAUAGUAUCUGCAAAACCUCACCCAAUUUAUAUCGCUUAAAAUUGCUGUCCUGUAUUAUUUUUCACAUUCUCAAUACCCUACUUAAGCUUGAACGUGGGAUUUUUAUGCUUUAACUUACAUGGAAUCUGACGUCCCCAAAGAGGAACCAGACCUUUGUAGAGCCUGUGAAGAAAGAGAAGCAGAGAUUUUGAAGUUAUUACUCAUUAGGAGGAAGAAAAAAACAUAUGGUUAACGGUGCAUCGUGUCAUACCCAAGAGGUCCCUCAGACUUGACAAACUUUGGAAGCCCAUCUGACAAACCCCGAGCAAAACCAGGUUGAGUUUGGACACGAACUUUGACGGCCUCCAUGGGGCAGAGAGCAAUAUCCGCAAUCACUUCUGCAGAUGCUGAGCCAGCAAGGCACCCUGAGCACUGUAACCAAGCAACGUUGGCACCCAUCCCCGGAAGAACCCUUUCACUCCCUGCUCCUUUAGCAGAAUUCCAAAACCAGACGAGAUAUUCUUGCAUGCAAGGAAAAGGAGUAGUAAAAGAGAGAUGAUUGUAUAAAUAAAAGUUGAAGAAACAAGGAAUGAGGUCGUUACCUGCAUAUUGCACUUGACGAGAUCGAGGGGGGUGACAGCCAUGUGGGUGAGUCCACAGCUCAAAAUGCCUCCGGCUGUGCAUGCUGCAUAGAAGGCUGGUGAAUACAUCUUUAUCUUCUCUUUCGGAGCUUCAAUUGGGAAGCUCCUAACCGCUGUUUGUGUUUGAGAAUACACAAAGCUUGGCACCUGCACCAGAGAUUGUCGUUGCCUAUCUUUUGACACACCCAUUAUUAGUUCUUUAUUAUUCCUAUCCUCCUGAUCUUUUCUCUACUGAUCUCUUUCACAAAGACACAAGAUAUGUAUAUCGAAUAUGGAUCUUACGGCUCCCAAAUUGUAGUCUGCGAUUAUUUUGAUUUUAGGGGCACAAAAGAGUUUAUAUAAUCAAUGGCAGUGGAAGGUUUUAUUUAA